rnacentral:rRNA from 1 species
CAAUAGCGUAUAUUAAUGUUGUUGCAGUUAAAAAGCUCGUAGUCGGAUUUUGGGAGCAUGUUGCACUGUCUGCCGAUUGGUAUGUACGGUUUAACGGCUUCAUUCCUUGACAAAACUCUGGUGGGCCUUCAUUGGUCUACUUGUUGGGUUGUCGUCUUUUACUUUGAAAAAAUUAAGAGUGUUCAAAGCAGGCCUAUGCUCUGAAUAGGUUAGCAUGGAAUAAUAGAAUAGGACUUUGGUUCUAUUUUGUUGGUUUCUAGGACCGAAGUAAUGAUUAAUAGGGACGAGUUGGGGGCGAUUUUUAUUCCAUUGUCAGAGGUGGAAUUCUUGGAUUGUGUUGCGACAAACUAACUGCGAAAGACAUUUG